UUCAAACAAUUUUAAUUUUUGGGAUGUAAGAUAAUUUUUGACAUGAUAUAAUAGCUUUAAAAGAUCGACAAGUUUGCAUUUAGAAUCUCAGUAACCUCUAUUCCAUCGCGUAUAUGAAUUAUUGUAAACAUAUCAAUGAAUAAUACUAUACAACCUAUCUUAACUCUCUCCAAAAAAAUUGAAUUAUUGAUAUGCAACCAUUUUUUACAUAUCUUGAUGUCUACAGAAUUCUUGUCCCGAAGCUAUUCCACGUAAAAAAGCUUUGUACACUUGUAAACACUUUGCUGCAUCGCUCUCUCCAAAGAAUCUAACAAUUGCACACCAAAUUAAGAGGUUACGCUUGUUCUGUAGACUGUAAAGUUACCCCAUGAUUCAUAACUUCCUCCCAAGUAUGAAGCCUACCAGUUCAUGAAGAAUAGUAACCAAAAGAUUAAUAGAGUAAGAGCAGCCAAAAUAGAUAUGCAUUUUUCAGUCAACCCCAUUGUCACAAAUCAGGCAAUUCACAUCGAUUGGAAGCCCCCAUUGAACCAUCUCGGUCAAGAAUUACAAGCCAAGUUAUAGCACAAUUAUUAGGCAUAGUAAUACCUGACCAGAUCAUUUCAUACCAAGGAACAACAUGAUUUUCACUGUGAUGGUGUUCCAAAUCACACUCAGCCAGAGGCGGAGUCAGGAUUUUGUCCUAUAGAAAAUCGUUUUAGAUACAUAGAAACAAUCGCAACGAAAAUAUGAAAGUAUCUAACAUUCUAAACCGACUCGUUUGCAUAUAAAUUAAUAGCAAAGGUUUUUACGAUUUACCUCUUGAAGCGUGAUUACUGGUUCGAUGACCAGUACUUGCCGAAACCUUAGACCAAAUGCGAGAGCUUCACGUGUAGCUCCUCUGCUCAGUCAACGCUAGUUGGGAUCCGGAUCUCCUUCGUCAACGCCUGCUAGAAUGCUUGAUCGAAGAACGGUUUUCCAGAGUGUUUGGUGGCUAGGGUUUUCUCUCUAAAAGCUUC
rnacentral:lncRNA from 1 species